rnacentral:rRNA from 1 species
AGUGAACGCUGGCGGUAGGCCUAACACAUGCAAGUCGAACGGCAGCACAGUAAGAGCUUGCUCUUACGGGUGGCGAGUGGCGGACGGGUGAGGAAUACAUCGGAAUCUACUUUUUCGUGGGGGAUAACGUAGGGAAACUUACGCUAAUACCGCAUACGACCUACGGGUGAAAGCAGGGGAUCUUCGGACCUUGCGCGAUUGAAUGAGCCGAUGUCGGAUUAGCUAGUUGGCGGGGUAAAGGCCCACCAAGGCGACGAUCCGUAGCUGGUCUGAGAGGAUGAGCAGCCACACUGGAACUGAGACACGGUCCAGACUCCUACGGGAGGCAGCAGUGGGGAAUAUUGGACAAUGGGCGCAAGCAUGAUCCAGCCAUACCGCGUGGGUGAAGAAGGCCUUCGGGUUGUAAAGCCCUUUUGUUGGGAAAGAAAAGCAGCAGGUUAAUACCCCGCUGUUCUGACGGUACCAAAAGAAUAAGCACCGGCUAACUUCGUG